rnacentral:piRNA from 1 species
UGACAAAAUUCGAAAAAGAGAACAGCGUC